rnacentral:rRNA from 1 species
CGUGAGGAAAGAUGAAAGAACUUUGAAAAGAGAGUUAAAGAGUACCUGAAACUGCUGAAAGGGAAGCGAAUCGUAUCCAGUGUCUAUAAUCUGCGGCAUAUUUCAUUGGCGGCAGUGUGCGUGCUUUUGCGUCGGAAGCGGCUUUUGUUGCUCUGUGCUUUUGCUGUGCGUGCUGUUGCUGGUGCCCUGUGUUGCGGUGGGACGUCAGAGUCAGUUCGUAUGCUGCGGGAAAUGGCCGCCGAGGAGGUAGGUCAGGACUUCGGUCUUGGCUGUUAUAUCUUGGUGGUUUGUUGUCGUGGUUGGGACUGAGGUGCCUACAAUGUGCUUUUGAGUGUGCCGGGUUCUCAUUUGGUGGACUGUUUGGAUAGCUUGCUAUGCUUGUGGUUUUUUCAUCGAGUGAUUGAGUCUGGUGGUAACUUAUUGCCGUUCGGGACUUUGACGAAAUGGAGCGAUUCGGCCCGUCUUGAAACACGGACCAAGGAGUCUAACAUGUGUGCAAGUGUUAGGGUGUGGAAACCCGAGCGCGUAAUGAAAGUAAAGGGUGGCUUUAGCUGCCUGAGGUAGGAAACCUUUGUUCUCAGAGGUGGCACUAUCGACCGAUCAAGAACCUUCGUGGUGAAAGAUUUGAGUAUGAGCACAUAUGUUGGUACCCGAAAGAUGGUGAACUAUGCCUGAGUAGGGUGAAGCCAGGGGAAACUCUGGUGGAAGCUCGUAGCGAUUCUGACGUGCAAAUCGAUCGUCAAACUUGGGUAUAGGGGCGAAAGACUAAUCGAACCAUCUAGUAGCUGGUUCCCUCCGAAAUUUCCCUCAGGAUAGCAGCAACUUAUUUACGAUAGUUUUAUGAGGUAAAGCGAAUGAUUAGAGGACUGGGGGAAGCAACUUCCUCCACCUAUUCUCAAACUUUAAAUCUGUAAGACCUGCAGGUUUCUUAAUUGAACUUGUGGAUGUGAAUAUCAAGUUGCUAGUGGGCCAUACGGGGUAAGCUCGUCUGGCGAUGCGGGAUGAUCCGAACGCAAAGUUAAAGUGCCAAAAUACCCGCUCACCUAGAUCCCAUAAAAGGUGUUGGUUCAUUAGACAGCAGGACGGGCCCGAUAGA